UACGGGGGGGGCAAGCGUUGUUCGGAAUUACUGGGCGUAAAGGGCUCGUAGGUGGCCAACUAAGUCGGACGUGAAAUCCCUCAGCUUAACUGGGGAACUGCGUCCGAUACUGGAUGGCUUGAGUUUGGGAGAGGGAUGCGGAAUUCCAGGUGCAGCGGUGAAAUGCGUAGAUAUCUGGAGGAACACCGGUGGCGAAGGCGGCAUCCUGGACCAACACUGACACUGAGGAGCGAAAGCCAGGGGAGCAAACGGG
rnacentral:rRNA from 1 species